rnacentral:rRNA from 1 species
GACGAACGCUGGCGGCGUGCUUAACACAUGCAAGUCGAACGGAAAGGCCCUGCUUUUGUGGGGUGCUCGAGUGGCGAACGGGUGAGUAACACGUGAGUAACCUGCCCUUGACUUUGGGAUAACUUCAGGAAACUGGGGCUAAUACCGGAUAGGAGCUCCUGCUGCAUGGUGGGGGGUGGAAAGUUUCGGCGGUUGGGGAUGGACUCGCGGCUUAUCAGCUUGUUGGUGGGGUAGUGGCUUACCAAGGCUUUGACGGGUAGCCGGCCUGAGAGGGUGACCGGCCACAUUGGGACUGAGAUAGGGCCCAGACUCCUACGGGAGGCAGCAGUGGGGAAUAUUGCACAAUGGGCGGAAGUCUGAUGCAGCAACGCCGCGUGCGGGAUGACGGCCUUCGGGUUGGAAACCGCUUUCGCCUGUGACGAAGCGUGAGUGACGGUAAUGGGUAAAGAAGCACCGGCUAACUACGUG